AACAAACGCUGGCGGCGUGCCUAAUACAUGCAAGUCGAACGGGGUAGCAAUACCUAGUGGCGCACGGGUGAGUAACGCGUGGAUAAUCUGCCUUAGAGUGGGGGAUAACUAGUCGAAAGAUUAGCUAAUACCGCAUAAGACUACAAGAACUGCGGUUCAAGGGGUCAAAGGUUGUUCGCUCUAAGAUGAGUCCGCGUAAGAUUAGCUAGUUGGUGAGGUAAUGGCUCACCAAGGCGACGAUCUUUAACUGGUCUGAGAGGAUGAUCAGUCACACUGGAACUGAGACACGGUCCAGACUCCUACGGGAGGCAGCAGUAGGGAAUAUUGCACAAUGGAGGAAACUCUGAUGCAGCGACGCCGCGUGAGUGAUGAAGGCCUUCGGGUCGUAAAGCUCUGUCGCAGGGGAAUAACACAAUGAAUGUACCCUGUAAGAAAGGAUCGGCUAACUUCGUGCCAGCCGCCGCCGUAACAC
rnacentral:rRNA from 1 species